UCCAAGUCCAAGAUUACAUCCAAAAUUCCCAAAAUAAUUAAGAAUGAACGAAAUAAAAUGUUUAAACUAUAGAACCCAUAAGUGGAAAGCUGGGGUCACCAUCAGUCCUCCGCUGCACCAAUCCAACUACUGUUGGGGAUUACCUAGAUAGAUAAAAUAGAAAAGAGUGAGUUUCGUAACUUAGUGUGUACAUCCCUACAAUUCAACAUGCAUACAGACAGAUAUCAGAAAAUAAUCAUACUUCGGGCCUCAGCCCUUUAUAGAAUCGGUGUGAGCUUUAGCCCACUCAGAAACGGAAUCAGAUGCAUAUAUAAAGCUAGGCCUUAGCCCACGAAGUCAGAUAUAGCAUGUAACAAAUCAGAUAUAUAGAAAAAUGCCCAACAACCCUACACACCAACUCCGUCCAACCCAACACAUCAUGUGGGGAUAAAAUCGACCCACCCAUCCUUGCACACCAAAUAUAGGGAUAAUAUCGACCCAUCCAACCCUACACACCAUAAGGUAUCGCAAUGCAGCACACGUUAUAAAUAUGCAGCUUAGCUGCCAGACAACAGGCUUAUGAAGCCUUUUAGAUACUUUCUUCACUUCAUCAAACCCACCACAAUACAAUGCAGCAUACAAACAUGGCAUGCUAAUAAAUAAAUUAACAUAUAUAUACCCGUAUACAGAAUAGAACAGAUAUACAUGCUAACUAGCACAUGCAUUAAUCAUACAUCUCAUAAGCAGACCAGAUCUACAGAAAUUAGACGUCUAAGUAAUGCUUACUGACCUUAUAACCGGUCACAGUCGACUUGGGCGACCCGUCCAACCUUACAAAACAUUUUGAAAAAAUAGGCUCACAUGCCCAUGUGACAUGCCCGUGUGGGCCCACACGCCCGUGUGGCCCACAUGGCCCAAAUCAGCCUUGGCCGGGUGGAUCACACGGCCUGGCCCAAAUUCCCACAUGCCCGUGUGGCUCCCCCCUAUAGGCCCACACGGCCCAAUUGGUCCAGCCUGUGUCUCGCACACAACCUCGCCGGUCAUCACACGGCCGUGUCGUGCGUCCGUAUCUUAUGCGCACGGCCCAAUUUGUCGACCACACAGCUGUGUCUUGCUACAUGGCCUACCAAAUUAAGUUCCGUUAAUUUUCUCUAAAACUAGACUCAUUUAUAUUUCUUCCAUAAAGUUUCUAGAAUUUUUGACUUAGCCAAUUAGUACAGUUUAUUCCUCAAGUUUGCUCCUGAUUCACUAUCUGACAGUUUCAACCCUUCUACACUAAAGUUCAAUUAUCUCAUAGUACAGGACUCGAAUAAUAUUCUCGUCUAUUUCUCUUGAAACUAGACUCAUAUAUCUAAUUACUAAUUUUUUUUCUAGAAUUUUUGGUCAAGCUAUUUAGUACAGUUUAUUAGUUAAAGUUUCCCCUAUUUCAGGGUAUGACUACUCUGACCCCUAUGCACUACGAACCGAAUUUCUCCCUGUACAUAAUUCCAAUGAUCAUGCCGUUUGUUUCCCUUAAAGAUAGACUCAAUAAGGAAUCCAUUAAUGUAAGGUAUGACUCUUAAUAAAUUUUGUACAAUUUAUGGUGAAUUUAUAAAAUUAGAACAGGGGAUCUCGAAUUCAUUCAGACCCUGUUUCACGAGAAUUUAAAUAUCACACAAUAUAGAAUUCUUUUUCUUCCUCUAUUUCUUUCAUGUGAAAAUAGGCUCAUUAAUCUUUAAUCCCAUAUUUUAUUCUGCCUCUAAUUCAUUUUCCACUAUUUUUAGUGUAUUUUCAAAGUUACACUACUACAGUAACUCAAAUCUGUCAAGGCUAAGUUACUCAUUCAUGGUCAUUGUUCAUAAUAUUAAUACAACACCAUUUUAUCCAUCAUGGUAAGAACACAUAUUAUGCAUCAUAGAUCAUCACAUAUCAAGGCAUUCUCAUAGGCUUAGUAUACAUACUUGCACAACUCGUAACAUAACUCGAGUGCAUACUCACCAAUGACUUACCUCAUUGGGACCAUCAUCAACUCUUUCCUUGGAUUGCCCGUUGAACACUUGGAAUACUAAUUGGAUACUCGGAAAAGCCUUUGCACAUAAGUGCCUCAAUUGUAGCUAAAGCUAUCUCAUAUCUCAUAACAUUUCAAUGCUCACUAUCGAGCUAGUCAUGUAGACUCAUAAUUCCUAGUGACAUGUCACUCGUAUCCUAAUUUAUUCUUAAAGUUCAAACGGGAUUUUUCCUUGCCUAUUAAGGCUUUGUCUUAUCAUAUUUCUAUUAAUCACAUACACAUUAAUAUCUGUACAAUUCAUGUAAUGAUAACAUUUAAAUACAUGUAUAGCAUGGUAUUGUUUACAUACGAACUUACCUCGAUACCACAAAGGUGAAAAGACAUACUCGUCCAUAAAUCGAUUUCUUUCCGUUCUAGGUCCAAAUCUCAAUUUUCAUCAUCUAUAACAUCAAUUUAGCCUAACAAUCAGUCACAAUAUUCAUAUGGGUCUAAAAAUCAUAUUUUUACAAAUUUUCAUUUUGACCCCAAACUUUUGCAUAUUUGCACUUUUGCCCCAAUGCUCGUAAAUUAAUUUUUAUCACAUUUCUUUACUCCUUGAGUCUAGAUGAACCAUUUUCAUAACUAUAGCAACUCAUAAUUUCAACUAUUUUACACAUUUACAACUCAUUUUACAACUUAGCAAUUUAGCCCUUUUUAAUGUAUUUUCAUGCAAUUUCUUUCACAAAAGUUGUUUAUUAGACAACUAGGACUCAUAAUCUUCCAUAAAAACAUAGAAAACAACAUAUUUACUCUCAUGGUAAAACCCUAGACUCUUCGUCAUUUUGCAAAAUAAUCCCCUCUUAUGAAAGCUCAUGCUUUAGGGGUUCUAAAAAUGUAAAAAUCAUCAAGCAAAGACAUUAAAAUCACUUACUAUAAAGGGAGUUUCCUUGCUGAAAGUUUCCAGCUUCU
rnacentral:lncRNA from 1 species